GGAAGCUUUCUUGGAGGGAGAGCGCAAGGAUUUUGUCGAGUCGUUCCCUUCUAAAUCAUCCGCCAUGGUUCUCGAGGUAACCCAACAGUCGGUGUCUUUCUUCUUCCUCUCUAUCGACAUUUCCAUCUUUUGCUUCUUUAUCCUGUUCGGGAAUGGUGAGAGGGGUCUCCGAAUUUGACUGCCAGGCAACUAUGGUCUUCAUUGACAAUUCGGAGUGGAUGACGAAUCGCGACAACUCUCACAACCGAUUACAAAUGCAGGCCGAAACUGUUAACUUGAUAUGCGAACUGCGAAGUGAACUCCAGUCAAAUCCGGAGAACACUCUUGGGUUGUUGACAUGGGAGAAAAAUCCGUCCGUGUUCUUUUCACCCUUGCCAGCUAUUUUGGGAUGAUUUUGGUUUGUACACGUGGAGACACUGAAAAAGGCAUUUCCUCUCAAUCUUAGAUGACCAAAGUACUAGAGGACAAAAUUUCCUGUCAUCUAUCAUUUACUCAGGAUUUCACUUGGAAGUCUUAUUUUAUGUAAGCUUCCUGGGGUCAAUUGUGAUGAUACUUCAAUAAAGGACUACAGGUGUCCCUACAGUGGCUCAGAGGUAAGCUUAUGGGGGUUUGUCGGGCCGUGUCAGAUUCCCAUCUAUGUAAUAAUAAUAAUAAUAUACAAAAUUACAAAUAAUGUUUGAGAAAUUAUAAAUAACUACCUAACUUUUUAAUUAAUUUAUGAACACGCUCUUCAUGAAUUAAAAAUUUAAGAAGACCAUUUUAUCCCUAACAAAAAAGCACCUUUAUAUAAAAAAAUUCUUUUUUAAAUUACAUUUUUUGGCUAGUGUGACGGUGUCUUUGUGAUUUCACCCUUUUCUGUGUGAUUGUAAAGACAAAAUGAAAGAGAGAGGGAAAUGUGAUCUUGCUGAGAAAUUGAUUUAAAACAUGUGGCAUGUGGUAAAAUUUCUUUUCUAAAAGAAAUGAUCUUUUAUGGUACAUAGCUUUUAAAGUAUAUUUUGAUACUUUUCAUUCAUGAAAUGUGUCUGUUGACUUAUUUUAUAAAUUCAGGCAGUUAUUUAUAAAUUUUUAUAAUAAUAAUAUAAUAAUAAUAUCUAAGGAGUUCAUUACAGCUCCUAUUGGCUUGUUUGGCACUAGUAAGCAAGAACUGAGUUGUUCCUGGUGAAAUAUAGGUGAUAAUUACAUCAUUUUUGAGUGUGUGUGUGCAUUCCAUGUCAUUUAAAUGUGAAACUGUAUAUUUUUGCACUUAAUGGCAUUUAAAGCACCUGCUACCAUUUCUUGUUUGUACGUUGGUUUUACCUCUCCCUUCGUAGUUGCCUGAGUCUCAGUUGAUUCAAGUUUGGCUGUUUUCUUGUUAGUUCAAGGUGGCAACUAUUUCCGUGUUUGCUUGUUUGUGAAGGCUCAUGUUAAUUUUUUUUUUUUUUUUUUUUUUUUGCUAAUUCCAGUUUCUGGUACUUUUCUCAAAAUUUUUCCUUUAUUUAUUGAAACUUCAAACAGAAGAAAAUCUGCAAAAUUACAACUUUCAAAAGAAGUAUCCUGUAAGCACUUGUCAAUGAUAAUAUUGAUUACAUUACAUUUGAAUCUGAUGACAUAUAUUAUUACCUAAUGAUUACACGAUCUACUACUUUGUACCUUUCAUGGGCAGUAUGCAGUGCUUGAUGAAGUACCAGUGUUCCUGAAAGGUGUCUGUUAAAGAUUUUUGCUGUUAUGGUCUAAUAAUGUAUCUGGGAUUAUGGAUCAUGUCCAUCCAGUACGGUGAGAUUUUUGUCCGUUUAUAUGAAAUUGGAACAAGUCCAGCUUUGUUGAUUAUACUCUCUGGACUCUGGGUGAACUUGCCUAUGGGUGUCACGAUUCUGUGGUGCAAGCUUAGAAUUCAUUGAGGAAUCCAUUUACAGUGUGAUAUUUUUUCUUUGAUUUUGGCACUUUGGUUCUCACACAUGUAUUUUGUCCACGUAUAGCCUUUAGGUGAAAAAGAAAGAUGAUUCUACAAAGGAUGGUGAUAAAUGAUUAUCUUCAGCUGGCAUCUCGUACAGCUAUUGCACGUGGUUCAAAAGCUAAUCUCUACGGAAUAACUCUGCAAACUCAAUACUGGAAAACAAUCGAAUCUCAACACUUGGAUUGUGAAGAUAUAAGUCAGGCCGCUGUGUAUGUGUGUCUGCAUGCGCCACAACGUGUAGGUAUCCAUCUAUAUUUUUAGUACUGUUGAUGUGCCAUUGCUAAUGUAGCAGAAUCACUAAUGUAGCAGAAUCACUAAAAGCUGCUCCUGAGCUGGCCCGCCCUUCACCUUCGUCAGUUCUAAUAAAGAAGAGGAACCAGAAGAGACCCUUUUUCUUGGUUCACUUUCUUCGACACCGAUCCCAACUUUCCUGGUUCUGUUUCUUUCCAUCUCGGCUGACCGUAACGGUGCCAUUGCUUCAACAAAGCGAUACGUGAUACUGUUUUAGCAAAUUAAAGAUGUUUUAUUCCUUUAAAUUAGAACCAAAUAUUCUGCCUCCCAUUGAAAUAGUACGAGACGAUUUGUGCAACGGCAACAGUCCAAACUCGGAAGGGAGGCUUGAACAUAUUAGGGUGCAACCAAUCCGUCGCUCUUCCUUUUUUCUUUUAAUAAUGUUAGUUGUGAUCAUCUAUCAUGUACUUGUGCGCAAUGCGCUCAAAAUGUUAUAUGCUCUUUUGAUAA